UAUUUGGACAUUGAAGCAGUUUGCUUCCGUACGUCACAGGCUUCAGUGAACUCCUGUUCUCCUCUCUGGCAUUUGAGGAAAGCUUUGGAGAUACAACCUGAAGAGAAUGCAAGAUUGAUAAGCAUGAAAUAUCUUUACAUAAGGGAACGAAGUGAUCUGAAAGGAGUGUAUCUUCACUUCUCGGAUGAAAUCUUUUAAAGAUGGCACAGAUAAUAUAAUUUUCCUUAGGGUUUUCCCAAGGAGUCAGCCUACCCCAGGAAGCUUAAUGCUAGCAAAUAUCCUAAAGGAUUCCUCCAAAUGUUCUCGAGGAUUUCAAUCUUCUCUACACAACUUGCAUCUAUUCUUAUGAGCCUGACUGUUCUGGUUAUCCAUCCACAGGAUAAAGAUGCAGUCAUUUCACUGUUCCUAAUCCCUUAAUUAAGCAGCCUCAUACUGAAUUUAGCUGCAUAUCUUCCUGAUCCAGGAGUACAAAUAUGUCCCUGAAAAAGCAGUUGUCUAUAUUUUUGUCUGUUAAGGCUGGAAAGAUUAUCCUGUUGCACUGUAAACAACCACUGAACCUUCUGAAGAGAUUUCUCAUCUGGGCUGUUUUGCUGAUAUCUCUUGUCAUGGACCCAUGUCCUGGUUCUUCUCCCUAAGGGGGUUAUUUUGGCUGCCCUAGCUGAGUGCAUGCGAAGUCAAGGAUUCAUUCUUGUCAAAAAAAAUCUCUGCUGAAGCAUUCAGCUCCAAGGACAACUCCUUAACAAGCGUGAAGACAACACAACUCUAUUUGCUUAACCGCAGCAAUGCUGUUGUA